rnacentral:misc_RNA from 1 species
UAGUAAAGUGACAUAAGGUACAGAAUCACUUUUGUUGGUCUUAUUAAGUUUAAUAAAAUGAUCUUCCUUUGCUAUAAAUUGUAAACAUCCUGAGGUAUUCGUCAUCUCAUUGGUUGUGAGCAGCGCUGUCACACUCUCUCCUUUUAAAACAGCCCCACGUGCCCACAAGCCCCGCCCACCGAAUCUCAUCUGCUUUGUUUUUUUGUGACCAGUCGCGCGUACGACUCGGUUGUCUCUCACGCUGUCAGAAAAUGGACACAAUGGAGAGAACAAUAGUGAUGGAGAGAAAAAAAAGAGGUAGACCAAAAGGAUCAAUAAUGACGGGAAUAUCAGAGAGUGAGAAAAAAACAAAUAGAUUGAACAGGGAGAGGUUAAGAGGCAAGUCCCGCAUAUAUAUUGGAGCUGAACUGAAAAGAUGGGAGGCAGUCAAGGAGGCAACGGGCAUACACACAAACAGUGGAAUAGCUAAACUUCUGCUUGACAGCUAUGAAGCUUUCCAGGCAUAUAUAAUGAACCAUAAGGAUGCAGAACAUACAAAAUUAUCACAUUCACAGAGCUCAACCACACCUGGUCCAAAUAGAGCAACACCUGUUCAGGUGUCAAGUGCAAGCACAGAACCAUCCCCCUCUAAUGUUUCCCCAGCAAAGUCAUGUGAUAGUGACUGGCAUGUAUCAGGAAUUGCCCAUUUGAGAUAUAUGCCAAAAUCUAUUGCAGCUACUUUCAUGCAUACUGCAGGCACAACUAGGAGGGCGCUAGAUAAACAAACAGAUGUUGAAGAGAAUUCAGGGAAAGAUGGAUCUUCUGGGCUCCAGAUUCCCUUACAAAUUGGUGUUGAAAAUACAAGCUUAGAUGUUGAGGGUGAACAUGAAGAGCAGGAACAUGAAGAGCAUUGCAUUCAACCCAACUUUGAUAUGGGUUUUGGAGUCACUGAAGCGGCAUGCCCAUCAGAAAUUACAUUUGAAGAACUGGAAUUUGGCAUUGAGCCGGAUAUCCCAACAAUAGAAGGGUCAGGAAUUAAUGAUGGGGUAACUAGAAUCAAUGACGUAGGGGACAUUGACCGGCUGACCAAGGACGAGGUCUGCUUUGCUUACCUCCAUCCAUUACUUUUACUAGCAAAAUUGAAUAUUCCCGAUGUAUGCUACAAAGAAAAGGACUGUCUGAAACCAGUUAUCAUCCAUCAACGAUUCAUUGGGUCUGCAUUAUAUUUUGAAUGGGUUUGUGCUAAUAAUCACUUCAUAUAUAAAUGGUGUAGUCAGCCUUUGCUGGACAAAGGCCUACACGGAGGUGACCUCAUGUGUGCUUCCGCCAUCCUGGCAUCAGACAACAACUUUGCCAAGAUAGCUUUAUUCGGACAGUUUCUGAAUCUGCACUUGCCAAGCAGGUCGGCUUACCAUCGGAUGCAAACAGCAUACAUUGUGCCAACGAUCGAAAGAUUUUGGGAUUGUAACCAGGAUCAGGUGUUUGCAGACUUAGAUGCUCAAGAAUUUAACCUUAGUGGUGCUUUGUCACCAGAUGACAAAAAUGAAAGUGCAAUGGAAAACCAAGGUUUGAACAAGAAGAUCAAAAGAUCGUCAGCGGUAGCCAUGAAAGUAAAGAAAGACCACAAACAUGUUCCAGAAAUCAUGAACUUAAUUGUGAGAUCGAGGCUGGAAGACCCGGCGCGCCUCUGUAGGAACGUUGUAUAUACGUCAAAUGAUCUACGCUGCAUGUCGUCUGGGUCUGCCCCGGUUCCCCCACCCCCCUCACAGGCUCUGGUAGGAGAUCAAUUUUCACGUAUGAAAUAAAAGGUGCAAAUGCUGGUCCCCAGUCCCAGCUGAACGAACACUGUUCCUUGCGGAUGUAGUUGGGAUGACAAAAGCCUUGAUACUCUGGUGGAUUGCAGUCCGGUGGUACGUCAUAUUUCUGGUGUGCUGCUGCCUGUUUUGAUGCAUACGACACCGGUGACUCAAAUUUGAUUUUGAUCGUGUUAUUUCCAGGCUAGUUAAAGGGAAUGGUAUGGUCCCAAAUAAUCAAUAAACACUACUAUACGUAUUUUUAAGAAGACAUCAGCAUGAAAUGAACAUGUUUACAUCGCUGGAAUAGUGAAUUCCUAAUUGAUCAAUGGUCAAUGGUUGUGCACGUGUAUAGUGCAUUACAAUCAUCUCUAUGAUGACUAAUCUGUUUGAAAAUCCUGGCUACGGCACUGCAUAUAACUUAAUUGCUAAUAGUUCAUAUACUGUAUCAUAUCGUUCAAAUUAAAUUAUUAACAUUUCAUAGACAUUUUCAUAUUUAGGAUUCUCACAUUGGGUCUUCGCAGUUCUCCAUAAAUUUUAAUCACUCUAAUUAGGUUUUAUGUGUAAAAUUUUUUAUGUAUACAAAACGUAUAAAUGUGUGACUAAAAAAAUGUUAUAAAAUAAGAUCAUUUGUUAAAAUUAGGCUUGGAAAUUGUAUUGACAUUGAAGUGUCUGAGAAAAUGACAUUUUGAUUGUUUCCAAAUAUUUAUUUUUUUAAUUAUGUACUUAUAUAAAUUUAUGAAAUUAAAAGUUUCUCACAUUCACAUA